UUCACCUUUAAUGGCAGUCCUGAGAGGCUGAGAAGGUACAUGUGAAGCGACGAAUGAUUUGUGCUGCAAAUCUUUACGUACGCGCUAUUUCCACACGCGAACUUUCCAAAUCCUCUAGAGACAAUCUAGAGGAUUUUUUAUU
rfam:Lysinibacillus odysseyi 34hs-1 = NBRC 100172 contig17, whole genome shotgun sequence.